AGAGUUUGAUCAUGGCUCAGGAUGAACGCUGGCGGCGUGCUUAAUACAUGCAAGUCGAACGAAGACAGUAGCAAUAUUGUCUGAGUGGCGAACGGGUGAGUAACGCGUUGGUGACCUGCCCCGAAGAGAGGGAUAACAGUCCGAAAGGAUUGCUAAUACCCCAUGUGGUCAUUUGGAUUAGAUGCCUUAUGACUAAACGGAUUUAUUCGCUUCGGGAGGGGCCUGCGUCCCAUCAGCUAGUUGGUAAGGUAAUGGCUUACCAAGGCGAUGACGGGUAGGGGACCUGAGAGGGUGGCCCCCCACAAUGGAACUGAAACACGGUCCAUACACCUACGGGUGGCAGCAGUAGGGAAUAUUGGUUAAUCUGGGAAACCGGGAACCAGCAACGCCGCGUGCACGAUGAAGGCCUUCGGGUUGUAAAGUGCUUUUUGAAAGGAUGAGGAAGGACAGUACUUUCAGAAUAAGCUUCGGCUAACUACGUGCCAGCAGCCGCGGUAAAACGUAGGAAGCGAGCGUUAUCCGGAUUUACUGGGCGUAAAGCGUGUGUAGGCGGUUUGACAAGUUGGAUGUGAAAGCUCCUGGCUUAACUGGGAGAGGUCGUUCAAAACUGUCAGACUUGAGAGUGGUAGAGGGAGGUGGAAUUCCGGGUGUAGUGGUGAAAUGCGUAGAUAUCCGGAGGAACACCAGUGGCGAAAGCGGCCUCCUGGCCCAUUUCUGACGCUCAGACACGAAAGCUAAGGUAGCAAACGGGAUUAGAGACCCCGGUAGUCUUAGCUGUAAACGAUGUGAACUUAGUGUCGGUGGGUUUAAAUCCAUCGGUACUGAAGCAAACGCGAUAAGUUCACCGCCUGGGGACUACGGCCGCAAGGUUAAAACUCAAAGGAAUUGACGG
rnacentral:rRNA from 1 species